CCUCUGGAGAAUCCUGCGCAAGGCAGGUGCCGAAGGGGCAAGGUUUUACCAAACCGAAACUCUCAGGCAAAAGGACAGAGAUC
rnacentral:ncRNA from 1 species